GUUCAGCUAUCCUAUAAAAAAGACUUCUUCUCCCCACGGGGGCCCAGUGUGCAGUGGCUGCAUCAGCACCCUCCUCGGUAGUGUAUGCAGCCUGUUGCUCUCCAGGUUGUCCUAAGGCACCUUGGAGACACCC
ensembl:snoRNA SNORA70 Small nucleolar RNA SNORA70